rnacentral:rRNA from 1 species
AACGAACGCUGGCGGCAUGCCUAACACAUGCAAGUCGAACGACACCUUCGGGUCUAGUGGCGCACGGGUGCGUAACGCGUGGGAACCUUCCCUUAGGUUCGGAAUAACUCCCCGAAAGGGGUGCUAAUACCGGAUAAUGUCUUCGGACCAAAGAUUUAUCGCCUUUGGAUGGGCCCGCGUUGGAUUAGCUAGUUGGUAGGGUAAAAGCCUAUCAAGGCGACGAUCCAUAGCUGGUAUGAGAGGAUGAUCAGCCACACUGGGGCUGAGACACGGCCCAGACUACUACGGGAGGCAGGAGUGGGGAAUAUUGGACAAUGGGCGAAAGCAUGAUCCAGCAAUGCCGCGUGAGUGAUGAAGGCCUUAGGGUUGUAAAGCUCUUUUACCCGGGAUGAUAAUGACAGUACCGGGAGAAUAAGCUCCGGCUAACUCCGUG